GAAUCAUCUUAUUCAUUUCUUUCUCCUAUGUUUCAGAGUUUCAUUUCUUGUCUGUCUAUUACUUCAGAUGAAUUAGACAUCUUAAAUUUCCUGGAGGGGGUAAGAAAUGAAUUGGGCAUACCUAUAAUAUAUCAGCAGGACUUAUGGGUAUUAAGAACAGAGAAACAAUAAAAAAAUGAUUUUGGCUCUGGUGAACUUGCAAGAUUAUCCUUACACAUCGCAUUUGUAAUUGAGUGGAACCUACUUUUGAGAAAUGCAUAUAUGGCCACUCAAAUUGCCAGUAAAUAGUCUGCUGAUUUUAUUGGUUGAUUGAUAAUAGGCAACUGUAUUUAAUGCACACUGAUCCUAGUAGUUAUCUUUGGCUGAGAUUCUGCCAAGGCAAUUGAUCCAUGUGAGAUGUCUAACAAUCUUAUUUGUUAAAAAGACAAAUUGAUACAUCACUGUGUUGGGCCACUCAAUCAAUGGAAUUUGUUUCUUUGUAAAAUGUGAGAUGCCCCAUGAACUGC